ensembl:lncRNA novel transcript
GGACUGCGAGGACGGGGAGGACCCGCCGCUACCGGGCAGGAAGGAGACCGGCACCCAGACAGGUGGCGACGGCAAAGGAAUCCUUCUUAGAAAUUCCUAAGGCUCAAUGCUUUGUGGAAGAUUCUGAGAAAGAAAAUAGUUUCCGAUCUUUGGGAUUCCCGAGAUGGUCCAAUCUGCAAAAAGUUCAUUGCCAUUUCCAUCAAGGACACUGAGAACAAGAGUCUUAUCUGGAUUGGAUCCUGGGAAUUGAGAAGCUUCAGCAGGGCUUCCGCUGGGACUAGGAUCAGGAUGUGAACACCCCCAACCUGGACCAUCUGGCCAGGGAGGGCGUCAAGGCCAAGUACCUCAUGCCGCCCCUUGUGACAAUGACCUCCCCGUCCCACUUCACUGCCAUCACAGGCUGGAGUGCAAUAGCACGAUUUCAGCUCAAUGCAACCUCCGCCUCGUGGGUUCAGGCGAUUGUCCUGCCUCAGCCUCCCUAGUAGCUGGGAUUACAGAUGGAGUCUCACUCUGCCACCAGACUGGAGUGCAGUGGUGCGAUCUUGGGCCACUGCAACUUCCGCCUCCCAGGUUCAAUCUAUUCUCCUGUCUCAGCCCCCCAAGUAGCUGGGACUACAGGCUAGUCUCAAACUCCUGGGCUCAAGUGAUACUCCCGCCUCACCGUCCCAAACUGCUGGGAUUAUAGGCAUGAGCCACCAUGUCUGGACAUCAGCAUCUGUAUUUUUUGAAGCACAGACGAGUUUGGGAACUACCGCGCUAGACUGAGUUUCGAUUCCUAGCCCUGUCUGACCGUAGGAUUCGGCUGGGCUGCUUCUGAAAACAGAGCUCCCCAGGCUCCUUCCCAGGACCUCACUCUGUCACCCAGGCUGGAGUAUAGUGGCACAAUCAUGGCUCACUGCAGCCUCAACCUCCUGGGCUGAAGUAGUUCUCCCACCUCAGCCUCCCAAGUAACUGGAACUACAGGUGCAUGCCACUAUGCUCAGCACCUUUUUGUAUUUUUUGUAGAAACGGGGUCUCGCUAUGUGGGCCAGGCUGGUCUUGAACUCCUGGACUCAAGAAGUCCGCCUGCCUCAACCUCCCAAAGGGCCAAGAUUACAAGCAUGAGCCACUGCAUCUGGCUGAUUCCUUAGUUUUCUUUUUCUCUUUGCCCAUUGCCUGGAUUCCAUAAGCAGAAGGAAAACCCAGGGACUGACUUAGUAGGCAAGACCCUUUCCUCUUCAAAACAUAAAUUGGCUCAAGUGGUACCAAAACUGAAACAUGUUUAUAACUUAACAUCUUUUCUUCCUACCCCUUCAAUCUCUUGAGCAAUGAGAAAAGGCACUGGGCUCUUUAUUUGUGUAGGGAAAAGAAAGAGAGAUCCGACUGUCACUGUGUCUAUGUCGAAAGGGAAGACAUAAGAGACUCCAUUUUGAAAAAGAUCUGUACUUAAAACAAUUGCUUUGCAGAGAUGUUGUUCAUUUGUAGCUUUGCCCCAGCCACUUUGCCCCAACCACUUUGACCCAACUUGGAGUUCACAAAAACAUGUGUUGUAUAAAAUCAAGGUUUGAAGGAUCUAGGGCUGUGCAGGAUGUGCCUUGUUAACCAAAUGUUUACAAGCAGUAUACUUGGUAAAAGUCAUUGCCAUUCUCUAGUCUCAAUAAACCAGGGGCACAAUACACUGUGGAAAGCCGCAGGGACCUCUGCCCUUGAAAGCAGGGUAUUGUCCAAGGUUUCUCCCCAUGUGAUAAUCUGAAAUAUGGCCUCGUGGGAUGAGAAAGACCUGACUGUCCCCCAGCCCGAUACCCAUAAAGGGUCUGUGGUGAGGUGAAUUAGUAAAAGAGGAAAGCCUCUUGCAGUUGAGAUGGAGGAAGGCCACUGUCUCCUGCCUGCCCCUGGGAACUCAAAGUCUCGAUGUAAACCCGAUUGUACAUUUGUUUAAGUCUGAGAUCGGAGAAAAGCUGCCCUGUGAUGGGAGGCAAGACAUGUUUGCAGCAAUGCUGCCUUGUUAUUCUUUACUCCACUGAGAUUUUUGGGUGGAGAGAAACAUAAAUCUGGCUUACGUACACGUCCAGUCAUAGUACCUUCCCUUGAACUUAAUUAUGAUAUAGAUUCUUUUGCUCACAUGUUUUUUGUUGACCUCCUUAUUAUCACCCUGCUUUCCUAGUAUAUUCCUUUUUGCUGAAAUAAUGAAAAUCAUAAUCAAUAAAAACUGAGGGAACUCAGAGGCCGGUGCCUGUGCAUGUCCUUGGUGUGCUGAGUGCCGGUCCCCUGGACCCACUGAUGUUUCUCUAUACUUUGUCUCUGUGUCUUAUUUCUUUUCUCCGUCUCUCAUCCCACCUGACUAGAAAUACCCACAGGUGUGGAGGGGCAGACCACCCCUUCAUCUGGAGCCCAGCGUGGGGCCCUUCUCUAGGGUGAAGGUACGCUAAGAACGUGAGCAUUGAGUACAGCCGAUGAGAGAUUCCCGAGUACGUCCACAGUCAGCCUUGCGGUUAGCUUGUGUGCUGGGAGGAAUCCAGGAUAACAAUGGGGCAAACUGAAAGUAAAUAUGCUUCUUAUCUCAGCUUCAUUAAAAUUCUCUUAAGAAGAGGGGGAGUUAAAGCUUCUACAGAAAAUCUAGUUACGCUAUUUCAAACAAUAGAACAAUUCCGCCCAUGGUUUCCAGAAAAGGGAACUUUAGAUUUAAAAGAUUGGGAAAAAAUUGGCAAAGAACUAAAACAAGCAAUUAGGGAAGGUAAAAUCAUCCCACUUACAGUAUGGAGUGAUUGGGCCACUAUUAAAGCAACUUUAGAACAACUUCAAAUAGAAGAAGAUAGGGUUUCAGUCUUUGAUGCCCCUGAAAGCUGUGUAAUAGAUUGUGAAGAAGAGGCAGGAACAGAGUUUAAGAAAGGAAUGGAAAGUUCACAUUGUAAAAAUGCAGUAGAGCCUGUACUGACUUGGUCAAUGCAGAAUGUUGACUAUAAUCAAUUACAGGAGGUAAUAUAUCCUGAAUCAUCAAAAUUGGGGGAAGGAGGUCCAGAAUUAUUUGGACCAUCAGAGUUUAGACCACGAUGGCCACCAACUCCUUCUCCCGCGGUUCAGAUGCCUGUGAUGUCACAAUCUCAAAUGCCAAUCCAGGCACAGUAUCCGCAAUACCAGCCAGUAGAAAAUAAAACCCAACCAUCGGUAGUUUAUCAACACCAGCCGCCAGCCGCAUUUCAGUAUCCGCCGUCUCCAGAGGUUCAGUAUGGAUCUCAGGCGGUGCGUCCUGUGCCAAAUAGCAAGGCACUAUAUCAACCCACGGCGAUGGCGUUUGAUCUUACGGUACCACCUAGUGGACAAGAUAGUGCACUGCAUGAGACCAUUGCUACAGCCAGAAAACAGGGAGAUCUUGAGGCAUGGCAAUAUCCGGUAAUGUUACAACCGAUGCCGGCCGGGAAAGGGAGUCAAGCAGGAGUUAAACAAUAUGGACCUAACUCUCCUUAUACGAGAAUAUUAUUAAAUUCCAUUGCUCAUGGAAAUAGACUUAUUUCUUAUGAUUGGGAAAUUCUGGCUAUAUCUUCCCUUUCACCCUCUCAGUAUCUCCAGUUUAAAACCUGGUGGAUUGAUGGGGUACAAGAACAGGUACGAAAAAAUCAGGCUACUAAUCCUGUUGCUUAUAUAGAUGAAGACCAAUUGCUAGGAAGAGGUCCAAACUGGGACACUAUUAACCAACAAUCAGUAAUGAAAAUGAGGCUAUUGAACAACUGUAAGGGCUAUUUGCCUCAGGGCCUGGGAAAACAUUCAGGACCCAGGAACCUCAUGCCCUUCUUUUAGUUCAAUCAGACAAGGCUCUAAAGAGCCAUAUCCAGACUUUGUGGCAAGGUUGCAAGAUGCAGCUCAAAAAUCCAUUGCAGGUAACGCCCGAAAAGUUAUUGUAGAAAUAAUGGCUUAUCAAAACGCAAAUUCAGAGUGUCAAUCAGCCAUAAAGCCAUUAAGAGGAAAUGUUUCAGCAGGAGUUGAUGUAAUUACAGAAUAUGUGAAGGCUUGUGAUGGGAUUGGAGGAGCUAUGCAUAAGGCAAUGCCAUUGGCUCAAGCAAUUACAGGGGUUGCUAUAGGAGGACAAGUUAAAACAUUUGGGGGAAAAUGUUAUAAUUGUGGUCAAAUCGGUCAUCUAAAAAAGAAUUGCCCGAGC